rnacentral:other from 1 species
AUCCGCCAGCGUUAACGCCCCACGGGGUGGAGUCAUGCUUAUCGCGGUUAUGUGUGUGGUUGUGUUCAUGUUCCACCAAGGAGGGAGUUGUAAUGGCAACAGGUACUGUCAAGUGGUUCAGCGACGCCAAGGGUUUCGGAUUCAUCACCCCCGAUGACGGCGGCGAGGAUGUGUUCGCACAUUUCUCCGCCAUCCAGUCCAGCGGUUUCAAGACCCUGAAGGAAGGCCAGAAAGUCAGCUUCGAAGUCAGCCAGGGCCCCAAGGGCAAGCAGGCUUCCAACAUCCAGCCGCAGGGUUGAGUGGCUGAUUUGAUAAAAAACCCCGCUUCGGCGGGGUUUUUUAUU